rnacentral:rRNA from 1 species
GACGAACGCUGGCGGCGCGCCUAACACAUGCAAGUCGAACGAGCGAGAGAGAGCUUGCUUUCUCGAGCGAGUGGCGAACGGGUGAGUAACGCGUGAGGAACCUGCCUCAAAGAGGGGGACAACAGUUGGAAACGACUGCUAAUACCGCAUAAGCCCACAGGUCGGCAUCGACCAGAGGGAAAAGGAGCAAUCCGCUUUGAGAUGGCCUCGCGUCCGAUUAGCUAGUUGGUGAGGUAAUGGCCCACCAAGGCAACGAUCGGUAGCCGGACUGAGAGGUUGAACGGCCACAUUGGGACUGAGACACGGCCCAGACUCCUACGGGAGGCAGCAGUGGGGAAUAUUGCACAAUGGGGGAAACCCUGAUGCAGCGACGCCGCGUGGAGGAAGAAGGUCUUCGGAUUGUAAACUCCUGU